rnacentral:rRNA from 1 species
UACGUAGGGGGCUAGCGUUGUCCGGAUUUAUUGGGCGUAAAGAGCGUGUAGGCGGCCUGGUAGGUCUGCUGUGAAAACUCGAGGCUCAACCUCGAGAUGUCGGCGGAAACCAUCUGGCUAGAGUCCGGAAGAGGAGAGUGGAAUUCCUGGUGUAGCGGUGAAAUGCGCAGAUAUCAGGAGGAACACCAAUAGCGAAGGCAGCUCGCUGGGACGUUACUGACACUGAGGCGCGAAAGCGUGGGGAGCGAACAGG